rnacentral:rRNA from 1 species
GACGAAGGGUGCAAACGUUGUUCGGAAUUACUGGGCGUAAAGCGAGUGUAGGCGGUCUGUAAAGUCGGGUGUGAAAGCCCCGGGCUCAACCCGGGAAGUGCACUCGAAACUCACAGGCUAGAGUAUCGGAGAGGUUGGUGGAAUUCUCGGUGUAGAGGUGAAAUUCGUAGAUAUCGAGAGGAACACCGGUGGCGAAGGCGGCCAACUGGACGAAUACUGACGCUGAGACUCGAAAGCGUGGGGAGCAAACAGG